rnacentral:rRNA from 1 species
UUCCCCUAGUAACUGCGAGUGUUUGGGUGGAAACAMAAAUUUAAAAUCUGGCRGWCUUUGGCCGUCCGAGUUGUAAUCUARAAAARUGUUAUCCGCGCUGGACCGUGUACAAGUCUCCUGGAAUGGAGCGUCAUAGAGGGUGAGAAUCCCGUCUUUGACACGGACUGCCAGGGCUUUGUGAUGCGCUCUCAAAGAGUCGAGUUGUUUGGGAAUGCAGCUCAAAAUGGGKGGUAAAUUCCAUCUAAAGCUAAAUAUUGGCGAGAGAACGAUAGCGAACAAGUACCGUGAGGGAAAGAUGAAAAGAACUUUGGAAAGAGAGUUAAACAGUACGUGAAAUUGCUGAAAGGGAAACGCUUGAAGUCAGUCGCGUUGGCCGGGGAUCAACCUUGCUUUUGCUGGGCGUACUUUCCGGUYGACGGGUCAGCAUCAAUUUUGAUCGKGGGAUAAAGGUUAGGGGAAUGUGGCAUCUUCGGAUGUGUUAUAGCCCUUGGUCGCAUACAACGGUKGGGAUUGAGGAACUCAGCACGCCGCA